AUCGUUAUUAUCGAGGGUGUGACGGAGAAGGAUAGUGUGUGCUAGCGAUUGGAAAUGCUAGUCUAAGCGUUUAGGGAGUUACGGUAGGCAAAUCCGCUGUAACAAUUCUGAGGCGUGAUGGGGAAGGCCAUAUAGGCCGAAGUACAUGAUUCCAUGCUUCCAAGAAAAGCAUCUAGAGAGAGAAGUAGUGCCCGUACCGCAAACCGACACAGGUAGAUGAGGAGAGAAUCCUAAGGCCGGCGGAAGAAUUGCAGUUAAGGAACUAGGCAAAUUGACCCCGUAAGUUCGCGAGAAGGGGUGCCUGCGAGAGCAGGCCGCAGAGAAUAGGCCCAAGCAACUGUUUAGCAAAAACACAGGUCUCUGCUAAAGCGUAAGCUGAUGUAUAGGGGCUGACGCCUGCCCGGUGCUGGAAGGUUAAGGGGAACACUUAGCGCAAGCGAAGGUGUGAACUUAAGCCCCAGUAAACGGCGGCCGUAACAAUAACGGUCCUAAGGUAGCGAAAUUCCUUGUCAGGUAAGUUCUGACCCGCACGAAUGGCGUAAUGACUUGGGCACUGUCUCAACUGCAAAUCCGGCGAAGUUGUAGUGCGAGUGAAGAUGCUCGCUACCCGCGAUUGGACGGAAAGACCCCGUAGAGCUUUACUGUAGCUUAGCAUUGAAUUCCGGUAUUGUCUGUACAGGAUAGGUGGGAGACUGGGAAACUAGGGCGUCAGCCUUAGUGGAGUCAACCUUGGGAUACCACCCUGACAGUACUGGGGUUCUAACAGGACGCCAUGAAUCUGGUGACUGGACAUUGUUAGGUGGGCAGUUUGACUGGGGCGGUCGCCUCCUAAAAAGUAACGGAGGCGCCCAAAGGUUCCCUCAGAGCGGUCGGAAAUCGUUCGUAGAGUGCAAAGGCAGAAGGGAGCCUGACUGCGAGACAUACAAGUCGAGCAGGGACGAAAGUCGGGCUUAGUGAUCCGGUGGUACCUCGUGGGAGGGCCAUCGCUCAACGGAUAAAAGCUACCUCGGGGAUAACAGGCUGAUCUCCCCCAAGAGUCCACAUCGACGGGGAGGUUUGGCACCUCGAUGUCGGCUCGUCGCAUCCUGGGGCUGUAGUAGGUCCCAAGGGUUGGGCUGUUCGCCCAUUAAAGCGGCACGCGAGCUGGGUUCAGAACGUCGUGAGACAGUUCGGUCCCUAUCCGUCGCGGGCGUAGGAAAUUUGAGAGGAGCUGUCCUUAGUACGAGAGGACCGGGAUGGACUGACCUCUGGUGCACCAGUUGUUCCGCCAGGAGCAUGGCUGGGUAGCUAAGUCGGGAAGGGAUAAACGCUGAAAGCAUCUAAGCGUGAAGCCUCCCUCAAGAUGAGAUUUCCCAUAGCAUAAGCUAGUAAGACCCCUUGAAGAACACAAGGUUGAUAGGUCAGAGGUGUAAGUGCGGUAACGUAUUUAGCUGACUGAUACUAAUAGGUCGAGGGCUUGACCU
rnacentral:rRNA from 1 species